rnacentral:rRNA from 1 species
UGGUGGAGUGAUUUGUCUGCCUAAUCGCGAUAACGAACGAGACCUUAACCUGCUAAAUAGCCCGCGUUGCUUUGGCAGCGCGCUGGCUUCUUAGAGGGACUAUCGGCUCAAGCCGAUGGAAGUUUGAGGCAAUAACA